GGCGAUAAAACUUUCACUUACAAUGAAAAUUACCUGUUUAGGCGCCCGUAGGUGCAACUUAUUACUCAA
rnacentral:tRNA from 1 species